UGGGGAAUAUUGCACAAUGGAGGGAACUCUGAUGCAGCGACGCAGCGUGAACGAAGAAGGCUUUCGAGUCGUAAAGUUCUUUUAUAUGGGAAGAUAAUGACGGUACCAUAAGAAGAAGCCCCGGCUAACUACGUGCCAGCAGCCGCGGUAAUACGUAGGGGGCUAGCGUUGUCCGGAAUCACUGGGCGUAAAGGGUUCGCAGGCGGAAAUGCAAGUCAGGUGUAAAAGGCAGUAGCUUAACUACUGUAAGCAUUUGAAACUGCAUAUCUUGAGAAGAGUAGAGGUAAGUGGAAUUUUUAGUGUAGCGGUGAAAUGCGUAGAUAUUAAAAAGAAUACCGGUGGCGAAGGCGACUUACUGGGCUCAUUCUGACGCUGAGGAACGAAAGCGUGGGUAGCAAACAGG
rnacentral:rRNA from 1 species